AACGAACGCUGGCGGCAUGCCUAACACAUGCAAGUCGAACGAGACCUUCGGGUCUAUUGGCGCACGGGUGCUUAACGCGUGGGAACCUGCCCUUAGGUUCGGAAUAACUCCCCGAAAGGGGUGCUAAUACCGGAUAAUGUCUUCCGACCAAAGAUUUAUCGCCUUUGGGUGGGCGCGUGUUGGAUUCGCUAGUUGGUAGUGGAAAAGCAUACCAAGGCGACGAUCCAUGGCUGGUCGGGUAGGAGGCUCAUCCACAAUUGGACUGAGACACGGACUAGAAGCGUACGCGAGGGAGGAGUGUGGAAUACUGGACGCGGGGCGCAAGUGUGAUAACGCAAUGCCGGGUGAGUGAUGCAGGCCUUAGGGUUGUAAAGCUCUUUUACCCGGGACGAUAGUGACAGUAACGGGAGAAUAAGCACCGGCUAACUCCGUG
rnacentral:rRNA from 1 species